rnacentral:rRNA from 1 species
UCCCGAACACGACCGUUAAGCCCUCCAGCGCCGAUGGUACUUGGACCGAAGGGUCCUGGGAGAGUAGGACGCCGCCAAGC